rnacentral:rRNA from 1 species
UACGAAGGGGGCUAGCGUUGCUCGGAAUCACUGGGCGUAAAGGGUGCGUAGGCGGGUUCUUAAGUCAGAGGUGAAAUCCUGGAGCUCAACUCCGAAAUGGCAUUGGAAACUACCUUGCUCGAGGGUUGGAGGGGGGACUGGAAUUCUCGGUGUAGCAGUGAAAUGCGUAGAUAUCGAGAGGAACACCAGUGGCGAAGGCGAGUCCCUGGACAACUCCUGACACUGAGGCACGAAAGCUAGGGGAGCAAACAGG